rnacentral:rRNA from 1 species
AUGGCUCAGAUUGAACGCCGGCGGCAGGCUUAACACAUGCAAGUCGAACGGUUUUGAGUACUUGUACUUAAGAUAGUGGCGAACGGGUGAGUAAUGCCUAGGAAUCUGCCGAUUAAUGGGGGAUAACGUUCCGAAAGGAACGCUAAUACCGCAUACGCCCUACGGGGGAAAGCAGGGGAUCUUCGGACCUUGCGUUAAUUGAUGAGCCUAGGUCGGAUUAGCUAGUUGGUGAGGUAAAGGCUCACCAAGGCGACGAUCUGUAGCGGGUCUGAGAGGAUGAUCCGCCACACUGGGACUGAGACACGGCCCAGACUCCUACGGGAGGCAGCAGUGGGGAAUAUUGGACAAUGGGCGGAAGCCUGAUCCAGCCAUGCCGCGUGUGUGAAGAAGGCCUUUAGGUUGUAAAGCACUUUAAGCGGGGAGGAGGCUACCUGGGAUAAUACCCUGGAGUAGUGGACGUUACCCGCAGAAUAAGCACCGGCUAACUCUGUG